rnacentral:lncRNA from 1 species
GCGGUUGUUCUACUGGAACUUCGGCCCGAAUUAUUUGAGUCAUUGGUUGAUGUGUUAAAUUCGGGUUUUCGUUAACCCUAGCUUUAAGCACUUCUUCUGGUGAAUCGACUUCUACUUUUUCACUUUCAAGUGUUUCUGUAGGGUUUUUGUUAACCCUAGACUUAACUUCGUCGUCGACUUUGAUUUUUCGUGGUAAGUUGAUCUGAGUCCCAACCACUCCUGACCGUUUUUUCCGUAAC